GUGUGUGAGUUUCCUCAUCUAUGAAACGACAAAUGGGUAGAGUAAUGAUGUCUGUGGGCAUUUCUAGUCCUGAGAGUCAAGGGUUCCUGGUGACCAUCCUCCCCUAGCAUUCUAUCCCUUGCUGAAAACUAAUGGCACAGAAGUGGGAGUCCAUUUGCACAGGCACAUAGCACACGUCUGACACACGGUAGACACUUAACAAACGUUGUUAACAUUAUCACAGCUAGGAGUAACACGAGUUAGCAUUUACUGAACAGUGAGUAUGGGUAACCCCAUGGCUUGCAUACCAUCUGUUGUUGCAUAACAAAUUAUCCCAAAAUGUAGCAGCUUAAGACAAUAAUAAACAUUUAUUAUCUCACACAGUUUCUAUGGGUCAGGAAUUCAAGAGCAGCUAAGUUGGGUGGUUCUGGAUCUGGUCUCUAAGGAGGUUGUAGUCAAGAAGUUGGCUUGGGCUGGGCACGGUGGCGCAUGCCUGUAACCCCAACACUUUGGGAGACUGAGGCAGGAAGCUUGAUCCAGGAGUUUGAGACUAGUGUGGGCAACAAAGGAAGACCUUGUCUCUACAAAAAAAAAAAAUUUUAGCUGGGCAUGGUGAUGCGUGCCUGCAGUCCUAGCUACUCAGGAGGCUAAGGUAGGAGGAUCACUUGAGCCCAGGAGGUCAAGACUGCAGCGAGCUGUGAUAGUGCCACUGUACUCCAGGCCGGGCAGCACAGUGAGACUCUCUUUUUUUUUUUUUGAGCUGGGGCUGCAGUUGAGUUUAGCAGAAUGCUUGACUGGAGCUGAAGGAUCCACUAACAAGAUGGCACACUCAUAGUUGGCAACUUGGUGAGAGGCCUCAGUUCCUCAGUACAUAAUACCUCUCCAUAGGGCUGCUUGAGCAUCCUUAUAACAUGGCACUGGCUUCCCCCAGGGCCAGUGAUCCAAAAGAGCAAGACAAAAGUGGUACUAUAUUUUAUGACCUAGCCCCAGAAGUCACACACUAUCAUUUCCACUGUAUUCUAUUGGACACACAGACCAACCCUGAUACAGUACGGGAGGCAACUGCACAAGGACCUGAUUACCAGGAGGCAAGAAUUAUUGAGCUCUAUCUUGGAGGCUAUCACAGUCUGUUCUAAGUGUUUAAUAGGUAUUAAUUCAUUUGUUAAUUCAUGACACUGAUACCAGUAUAAUCCCCAUUUUACAGAUGAGAAAACUGAGUCACACAGAGAUUAAGUAACUUGCUUAAGGUUGCACUUCUAGGAAAUGGACUGGGGUGUUGUCGUGGACUGAAUGCUUGUGUUCCCCCAAAAUUCACAUAUGGAAGCCCUAACCCCAAAUGUGAAGGUAUUUGAAGAUGGGGCCUUUGGGAGGUAAUUAGGGUUAGAUGAGUUCAUGAAAGUAGGUCCAAUGGCAUUCGUGCCCUUAUAAGAAGAGACACAAGGCUGGGCAGCUGGGCAGAAUGGGCAUGGUGGCUCACGCCUAUAAUUCCAGCACUUUGGGAGGUCAAGGUGGAAGGAUCACUUGAGCCCAGGAGUUCGAGACCAGCCUGGGCAAUAGAACAGACCUUGUCUCUACCAAAAAAAAAAAAAAAAA
rnacentral:lncRNA from 1 species